GACGAACGCUGGCGGCGUGCCUAAUACAUGCAAGUUGAGCGCUGAAGGUUGGUACUUGUACCAACUGGAUGAGCAGCGAACGGGUGAGUAACGCGUGGGGAAUCUGCCUUUGAGCGGGGGACAACAUUUGGAAACGAAUGCUAAUACCGCAUAAAAACUUUAAACACAAGUUUUAAGUUUGAAAGAUGCAAUUGCAUCACUCAAAGAUGAUCCCGCGUUGUAUUAGCUAGUUGGUGAGGUAAAGGCUCACCAAGGCGAUGAUACAUAGCCGACCUGAGAGGGUGGACGGCCACAUUGGGACUGAGACACGGCCCAAACUCCUACGGGAGGCAGCAGGAGGGGAUCUUCGGCAAUGGACGAAAGUCUGACCGAGCAACGCCGCGUGAGUGAAGAAGGUUUUCGGAUCGUAAAACUCUGUUGGUAGAGAAGAACGUUGGUGGGAGUGGAAAGCUCAUCAAGUGACGGUAACUACCCAGAAAGGGACGGCUAACUACGUG
rnacentral:rRNA from 1 species